AGUGCAAUGGACCUCACACAUCUCUCAUAUCUUCUUUUAUACUAGUGGAACAUGAAAAAUGGCAAUGUUGCCCAUACAAACUGGAAAUACGACAUAUAGGCCAAAUAAAAACAAAAAAUGACUUUUAACACGCCCUCAAGCCAGAGCAUAAAUGCCAACCCUAACCAUCUUGGAACUAAUUGUUUGGAAACAAGUUACAAGCAUGGGCUUUGGUGAAUAUACAUGCCAACCGAUCCUUAGAUUUCACAUAUGGAGUAGACACUUGCUUUGUGGUAACCUUCUCUCAAGUAAAUUGACUUAGUUCUCAUGAAACACUGAAUUGUUGGCUAUAUAAGUUGCAACUUUAUUGUCACUACAUCUUCAUAGGCUCAACACUAGUCUCUUCAGCCACAUCAGUUCUACAUCAGUUCUCAUGUAUGUGCCAUUGCUAUAUAUUCAGCCUCUGCACUAGAUCUAGCUAUAAUAUUUUGUUUGUUACUUCUCAUGUAACCAAAUUACGACCAAUAAAUGUACAAUAGCAUGUUGUAGAUCGCUUGUCUACAACAUGGUCAUUCAGCAUUUGAGUAACUCUCAAUGGUCAAUUGAUUAUUUGAUUGUAAAUCAGAUCUCGACUUGGAGCUCCCCUGAGAUGCCUCACAAUUCUACGAACAACAUCCCUGUGAGGAACCAUGGGAGAGUGCAUAAAAAGACUCGCUACACUUACUGCAAAAGCAAUAUCAUGCCUAGUGAUAGUCAAAUAAAUCAACCUGCCUGCCCGUCUUUUGCACUUUCCUGGAUCCUCAAAUGACUCCCCCUUAUCAAACAAUAAUUUUGUAUUGAAUCUAUAGAAUACCAAUUGGUUUAGCACCUAACAUUCGAGUUUGUUGACAAAUCAAUCGCGUAUUGUCUUUGAGACAAGCUAAUCCCAUGCUUUAGUUCAAUUUUUAGAAAAUAACUUUGUUGGCCGAAUCCGUUGUCUGAACAUAUUGUUUCUAGAUGUCUCUUCAAAUGACUGAUGACUUUCUUGAUCAUUGCGUGUAAUGACAAUGUCACGGACACAUUCAACUAAGACAAUUGUCUUGGAGUCAUGUUUCCAAAUGAACACUAAAUGAUGUGCAUGGCUACUACUAAAUCCUAAUGUCAAUAAUUUCACUAAAUCUCUCAAACCAUGCAUGUGGGGUACAUUUCUAACUGUAAGUGGCUCACUUCAACUUACACACCUUGUAUGACUCCCCCUGAGAAAAAUCCCGAAGUGGUUGCUCCAUAUACACCUCCUCUUGUAAAUGACUAUGGAGGAAGGCAUUCUUCACAUCAAGCUGUGACAAUGGCCAGCUUUUAUUUGAGGUUAUGUAUAUAAGUACUUGAACCUAAUAAAGUUUCACAACAAGAGAAAAAAUUUCAGAGUGAUCAUUGUCAAAGGUUUGGGUGUAUCCUUUGGCAACCAAUCUGGGUUUUAAUCUCUCGAUAAUGCCAUUAGGCUGCUAUUUUACUAAAACUUAGUGACACACAAUAGUUCUUUUCCGGCUGGUAGCUUAGUGUGCUUCUAUAUAUUUUUCAAGUUGAGUGUAUCCCUUUUCUCGUUCUUUGUUUUCUUCCACCCAGUGUGAAAAAGGGCUUCUUGAUAAGACUUAGGGAUAGAAAUAGAUGAAAGAGCUAAAGCAAAAGCUGCAAAACUUUGAUAGGAUGCACGCAAAUUUGUAAAGGUAACAAAAUGAGCAAUGGGAUCUUGAGCACAUGACCUUGUGCCUUGACGGAUGGCGAUAGGUAAAGGUACAUUAUCAUCACCAUAGGUAAAGGUACAUUAUCAUCACCAGACGUAGAAUGUGAGUCAGAAGCUAGAAGUGCAUUUGUAGGCAAAGAUGAUGAUUGGUUGGCUGGAUGAGUCGGUGGAGGGUGUCCAUCCUGCACUUUCCUUCUCGUGUACCUUUAUAGGCUGCUUGUGAGUGACAUCAUGAUGUGUUGAAGUAAAAGGUUCAGCAGGUCUAGGUCACUGAGGCGAAGAAAAAGUAUCAAAAGGAAUAGGAAGAGGAACUAUAGAGAUGAGGACUUUGAGACUUCUUCUGGAGUAGGAUAAAAACAAUAUGCAUUAAGCAUACGACCCUCUUCUAAAAAGGGGAUAUUUUCAAAAAUGGUAACAUCAGCAAAAAAAAACUUCUUUCAUAAACCAAGAUGAUGGCGAUGAUAACCUCUCUGGAAGUGUGCAUACCCUAGAAAAACACUCUUGAUAGCUCAAGGAUAUAACUGAUUAUUAUCAGUCCCUAACACAUGAACAAAGCAAACACAACUAUUUUUUUAUUCAAUACUGAAGAGGGCAUAUGAUUAAUGAACUAACGUGAGAUCAACAAGGCAUCUCCUCUAUAAGCUUUUGGGCAUGUAUUUUAACUAGAUUUUUUUCUUCAGCAACUCCAUUCUAUUGAGGAGUAUGCGCACAAUAAGUUUGAAGUAAAAUUGCUUUUUGAGUAAACCAAAUUUGAAAUUCUUUGAAAAGAUAAUCUUUAGCAUUAUCAUAAUAUAAAACACACGCGUUUAUUGAAUUGAGAUUGAAUAUCCUUGUGAAAUAGUUUAAAAAUGGAGAAAAUCUCCUCUCGCAUUUAUUAAAUGUACCAUGUCAUUCACGAGUAAUCAUCCAUGAAAGUUACAAAAUAUCUAUGUCUGACAAGCUUUGCACUCUAGCACAAAGGUCGUGAGUUAGCAAGGGUGGUAGUGAAAGUGGAAGGGUGGACAACAGGUCAUUGUACUUGUUUAACACGUUUAUUAUAUUCUUCGCUUGAAGUCACCAGCAGAAUUUGACUGUUGUUGGUGAUUCCAAGAUUCAUUCAGAUAAGCAUUACCACUCUCAGAUGUGUAAGUAACAUGAUUCCCCCAAGCAGGCUUACCAACCUUAUCCCAACACUUACCAACCAUAUGAUUUGUUCACCCACAUUGCAUAUACUUUCGAGUCCUCGACCCCUACUCCGUUUCUCUAACACUGCCCCUUCCUGAGUUACAAGACGUCUGCCUCCAUCACCUCUCCCCACAAAUGUCUUCAAAGUCGAUGCACCACUAACACUCAAGUCAGAAGGUGUGGGUGGGGAUAUAUUGACAUGUUGGAUGUGAGCAUACACAUUAUUGAGGGACGGUAGCUCACUCCUUACCAAAAUCUGUCCAUGAACAGAAUGGUACUUAGGAUUAAGCUUCCUUUGUAAUUGCAAAUCUCUAGAUAUAGGCUGUUACAAAUUCAGGUUUUCCCACAUACCUCUAAUGGCAUUAUAAUAUUCACUCCAAUCUUAUUACUUUGUUGCAAUUGAAACAUCUUCUCAAAUAGCUCAUGCACGAUAACUAUGUUACUUUCAAAUUGUCCCAAAUUUUUUUAGCACUGUCAAGAAAUAUCACAUUUGCACUUAUUUGAGGUUCUAUAUUACUCCACAACCAAGUCACAAUUAUGUAAGUCUCUCACAUAUACUCUUUAUAUCUACUAUCAGAUAUACUAGGCUUGUCCUCAAUCAAGUAUUUCAAUUUUCCCCUAGCACUAAGGGAUACUUUAACACUGUGGUAUAAAAAGCGGAUCGGUGACUCGGAUCGGGCAUCUCAAAAACCCAUCCGGAUUGGCGAAUCGGCUGAAUCGGUCGG
rnacentral:lncRNA from 1 species